rnacentral:rRNA from 1 species
CCCCUAGAUGUUCUGGGCCGCACGCGCGCUACACUGAACAGUUCAACAAGUCUUAACCUUGGCCGAUAGGUCUGGGUAAUCUUUGAACGCUGUUCGUGAUUGGGAUAGACCUUUGCAAUUAUGGGUCUUCAACGAGGAAUUCCUAGUAAACGCAAGUCAUCAGCUUGCAUUGAUUACGUCCCUGCCCUUUGUACACACCGCCCGUCGCACCUACCGAUUGAAUGGUCCGGUGAAAUCUUCGGAUCUGAGAGAUGUCUGAUUAAUUUCGGACGCCUUUUGGAAAAGUUGUUUAAACCUUACCAUUUAGAGGAAGGUGAAGUCGUAACA